rnacentral:rRNA from 1 species
UACGGGGGGGGCAAGCGUUGUUCGGAAUUACUGGGCGUAAAGGGCUCGUAGGUGGCCAACUAAGUCAGACGUGAAAUCCCCAGGCUCAACUUGGGAACUGCGUCUGAUACUGGAUGGCUUGAAUUCGGGAGAGGGAUGCAGAAUUCCAGGUGUAGCGGUGAAAUGCGUAGAUAUCUGGAGGAAUACCGGUGGCGAAGGCGGCAUCCUGGACCGAGAUUGACACUGAUGAGCGAAAGCCAGGGGAGCGAACGGG